rnacentral:rRNA from 1 species
CCGUAACUUCGGGAUAAGGUGUGCCUUUGUAGUGUGAAGAGUGAAACACUCCGAGCAUGAAGAGGUCACAGAGAAUAGGUGGCUGCAACUGUUUACUAAAAACACAGCACUCUGCAAAGACGAAAGUCGACGUAUAGGGUGUGAUGCCUGCCCGGUGCCGGAAGAUUAAGUGAUGGGGUGAGAGCUCCUGAUCGAAGUCCCGGUAAACCGGCGGCCGUAACUAUAACGGUCCUAAGGUAGCGAAAUUCCUUGUCGGGUAAGUUCCGACCUGCACGAAUGGCAUAAUGAUGGCCACACUGUCUCCUCCCGAGACUCAGUGAAGUUGAAAUGUUUGUGAUGAUGCAAUCUCCCCGCGGCUAGACGGAAAGACCCCAUGGAGCUUUACUGCAGCUUUGCAUUGGACUUUGAACCGAUCUGUGUAGGAUAGGCGGGAGGCAGAGAACCGAGGACGCCAGUCUUUGGGGAGCCGACGUUGAAAUACCGCCCUGAUUUGUUUGAGGUUCUAACCGCGGACAGUAAACCUGUUCCGGGACCGUGCAUGGUAGGCAGUUUGACUGGGGCGGUCUCCUCCUAAAGGGUAACGGAGGAGUACAAGGUACGCUAGGUACGGUCGGAAAUCGUGCUGAUAGUGCAAUGGCGCAAGCGUGCUUGACUGCGAGACCGACAAGUCGAGCAGAUGCGAAAGCAGGUCAUAGUGAUCCGGUGGCACUGAAUGGAAGGGCCAUCGCUCAACGGAUAAAAGGUACUCUGGGGAUAACAGGCUGAUACCGCCCAAGAGUUCAUAUCGACGGCGGUGUUUGGCACCUCGAUGUCGGCUCAUCUCAUCCUGGGGCUGUAGCCGGUCCCAAGGGUAUGGCUGUUCGCCAUUUAAAGAGGUACGUGAGCUGGGUUUAAAACGUCGUGAGACAGUUUUGUCCCUAUCUGCCGUGGGCGCUGGAAGAUUGACGGGGGCUGCUCCUAGUACGAGAGGACCGGAGUGGACGCACCUCUGGUGUACCGGUUGUCACGCCAGUGGCACAGCCGGGUAGCUAUGUGCGGAAGAGAUAACCGCUGAAAGCAUCUAAGCGGGAAACUUGCCUGAAGAUAAGUCUUCCCGGAGGCUAGACCUCCCAGAAGAGUCGUUCGAGACCAGGACGUUGAUAGGUCAGGAGUGCAAGCGCUGUGAGGCGUUGAGCUGACUGAUACUAAUUGCUCGUGAGGCUUGAUCCU